rnacentral:tRNA from 2 species
GGGCCGAUAGUUCAGCUGGUAUGAACGCUUGACUUGCACUCAAGAGGUCGGGGGUUCAAAUCCCCCUCGGUCCACCA